GAUGUUAGCGGCGGACGGGUGAGUAACACGUGGGUAACCUGCCUGUAAGACUGGGAUAACUCCGGGAAACCGGAGCUAAUACCGGAUAGUUCCUUGAACCGCAUGGUUCAAGGAUGAAAGACGGUUUCGGCUGUCACUUACAGAUGGACCCGCGGCGCAUUAGCUAGUUGGUGGGGUAAUGGCUCACCAAGGCGACGAUGCGUAGCCGACCUGAGAGGGUGAUCGGCCACACUGGGACUGAGACACGGCCCAGACUCCUACGGGAGGCAGCAGUAGGGAAUCUUCCGCAAUGGACGAAAGUCUGACGGAGCAACGCCGCGUGAGUGAUGAAGGUUUUCGGAUCGUAAAGCUCUGUUGUUAGGGAAGAACAAGUGCGAGAGUAACUGCUCGCACCUUGACGGUACCUAACCAGAAAGCCACGGCUAACUACGUGCCAGCAGCCGCGGUAAUACGUAGGUGGCAAGCGUUGUCCGGAAUUAUUGGGCGUAAAGGGCUCGCAGGCGGUUUCUUAAGUCUGAUGUGAAAGCCCCCGGCUCAACCGGGGAGGGUCAUUGGAAACUGGGAAACUUGAGUGCAGAAGAGGAGAGUGGAAUUCCACGUGUAGCGGUGAAAUGCGUAGAGAUGUGGAGGAACACCAGUGGCGAAGGCGACUCUCUGGUCUGUAACUGACGCUGAGGAGCGAAAGCGUGGGGAGCGAACAGGAUUAGAUACCCUGGUAGUCCACGCCGUAAACGAUGAGUGCUAAGUGUUAGGGGGUUUCCGCCCCUUAGUGCUGUAGCUAACGCAUUAAGCACUACGCCUGGGGAGUACGGUCGCAAGAUUGAAACUCAUAGGAAUUGACGGGGGCCCGCACAAGCGGUGGAGCAUGUGGUUUAAUUCGAAGCAACGCGAAGAACCUUACCAGGUCUUGACAUCCUCUGACAACCCUAGAGAUAGGGCUUUCCCUUCGGGGACAGAGUGACAGGUGGUGCAUGGUUGUCGUCAGCUCGUGUCGUGAGAUGUUGGGUUAAGUCCCGCAACGAGCGCAACCCUUGAUCUUAGUUGCCAGCAUUUAGUUGGGCACUCUAAGGUGACUGCCGGUGACAAACCGGAGGAAGGUGGGGAUGACGUCAAAUCAUCAUGCCCCUUAUGACCUGGGCUACACACGUGCUACAAUGGACAGAACAAAGGGCUGCGAGACCGCAAGGUUUAGCCAAUCCCAUAAAUCUGUUCUCAGUUCGGAUCGCAGUCUGCAACUUCGACUGCGUGAAGCUGGAAUCGCUAGUAAUCGCGGAUCAGCAUGCC
rnacentral:rRNA from 2 species